rnacentral:tRNA from 1 species
GGGAAUGUGGCUUAGUGGUAGAGUGCUUGCCUAGCAUGCAUGAAGCCCUGGGUUCGAUACCUCAUUAUCU